rnacentral:rRNA from 1 species
UACGGGAGGCAGCAGUGGGGAAUAUUGCACAAUGGGCGGAAGCCUGAUGCAGCAACGCCGCGUGCGGGAUGACGGCCUUCGGGUUGUAAACCGCUUUCGCCUGUGACGAAGCGUGAGUGACGGUAAUGGGUAAAGAAGCACCGGCUAACUACGUGCCAGCAGCCGCGGUGAUACGUAGGGUGCGAGCGUUGUCCGGAUUUAUUGGGCGUAAAGGGCUCGUAGGUGGUUGAUCGCGUCGGAAGUGUAAUCUUGGGUCUUAACCCUGAGCGUGCUUUCGAUACGGGUUGACUUGAGGAAGGUAGGGGAGAAUGGAAUUCCUGGUGGAGCGGUGGAAUGCGCAGAUAUCAGGAGGAACACCGAUGGCGAAGGCAGGUCUCUGGGCUGUUACUGACGCUGAGGAGCGAAAGCAUGGGGAGCGAACAGGAUUAGAUACCCUGGUAGUCCAUGCCGUAAACGUUGGGCACUAGGUGUGGGGAACAUUCCACGUUUUCCGCGCCGUAGCUAACGCAUUAAGUGCCCCGCCUGGGGAGUACGGCCGCAAGGCUAAAACUCAAAGGAAUUGACGGGGGCCCGCACAAGCGGCGGAGCAUGCGGAUUAAUUCGAUGCAACGCGUAGAACCUUACCUGGGUUUGACAUGGAUCGGGAGUGCUCAGAGAUGGGUGUGCCUCUUUUGGGGUCGGUUCACAGGUGGUGCAUGGCUGUCGUCAGCUCGUGUCGU